GAUGAACGCUAGCGGCGUGCCUAACACAUGCAAGUCGAACGUGAAGAAGCCUUCGGGCUUCUGAAAGUGGCGGACGGGUGAGGAAUACGUAGGUGACCUGCCUUCGAGUGGGGGAUAACCACGGGAAACUGUGGCUAAUACCGCAUACGUUGAGAAAGUCGGGAGACUUACUCAAUAAAGCUUUAGUGCUGGGAGAGGGGCCUACGUCCGAUUAGUUAGUUGGUGAGGUAACGGCUCACCAAGGCGAUGAUCGGUAGCUGGUCUGAGAGGACGAUCAGCCACACGGGAACUGAGACACGGUCCCGACUCCUACGGGGGGCAGCAGUGAGGAAUAUUCGGCAAUGGGGGCAACCCUGACCGAGCAACGCCGCGUGGAGGAUGACGGUUUUUGGAUUGUAAACUCCUUUUCUGUGGGAAGAGACAGGACGGUACCACAGGAAUAAGUCACGGCUAACUACGUGCCAGCAGCCGCAGUAACAC
rnacentral:rRNA from 1 species